UUUAAGAGAGCAUAAUGAUCACAAUAUGUUGUUGACAUAUCCCUCCUUGUUAAUUAUUUAGGAAAUAAUAAAGUGGACAUACCACACUGUAGAUCAUGCAAUCUUCUCUAUCUAGGUCAAUUAGGAAUUGUGUGUGAUUUAGUAUCACUACAUUUUGUGGGGGUAGUGCUAGUAUGAUUUUGGGUAGCAUAUGGCAGUGCUUGAAAAAUCACUAAGGCUUAAUUUUCCAGUGUACAUGCGGAAUUUCUCCAAUCACUCUUACAUUUCCUUCUCCUUUUCACAUAUAUGCGGUUAAAACAUGAACCUGACCAUAACAACGAAAGCUUCAUGUUCUUAUAUCUUUCCAACGGGUAAUAUCUAUCUUUACCUAUGUAAGGACAGAAGUGCAUACACGAACUCAAAUAAUGUUCACAGCAUGAAUCAUGGUGACAAAGCCCAUUGUGUUUUAGUGGGUAUUGUUUUAAGAGUUCCAAAGUUCUUGUAUGAAGGAUGACUCUAAUCCUUGAAAUUCUGUAAGUCUCCAAGAAUUGUGAAUGGAUGUGAUGAUAUUUAGACUCACAUAUACUAUGUAGAGUAUUCAGAGUGUAUCUUUUAAAGAGAGGUCAAGGGAUAAUAACCAUAAAGACAAUAUUAUUCUAUAGAGCCUUGCUAAUUAUCCUAGUUACAAUAAAGUGGUGAUGUUGUCCCUUAUUCUUUAUGUUGCUAUGCUGUGUUAUUGCUGUUCAGGUAGGGAAUGAGAAAGCUGUAUUGGAAAUAUAUCUGUUGAGGAGUACUCUAUGUCAUGAUUAACUGUCAAUGUUGUAAAAGUACCAGUGUAGUGACAAGCAUUGAAUGUGUUGCAGAUAUACACUUAGGAAACGAUGUACUCUCCUGAUCAUUAAUACAACUAAAAUAUUGGCCAUAAAUUCAAAUAUCCAAGUAGAAGUAAAGUAAGGUAUGCCAUGACAUGGGUAGUGGAGAAGACAAUGAUCUGGUAUUCUUAUAGAGAAAGCUGUGGCCUUAAAUACAUUUGGGUGUAAUAAAACAGCUUCCCUACAAGAGAACAUAGUUGCUCUGAAAAAAAAUCUUCCUAGAGGAACCUUGUUAAUAAUACUUGAUAAGUUUGUCAGAUACAAUGAAGAUAAUCUUAACUUCAUAUCCAUGUCUCUGUGGAGGUGGUUGCUAAUGCCAAGAUACCAUGUUUCUUUGCAGUCUCCUGUCAAGGUUCUGGCUAGUGUACAGGAAUAAGAAGAUAUUCUAUUCAUUCAUCAAAAAAACUUCAUAUUUUUGAAUGGAUGUUGAUGAGUACUGUGGGGAUUUUCCCAUGUCUCCUUCAUUAUUGGGAGACCCCAAUGCAUCUCUCUGAUUUUAUAUGAAAGUAUCUGCUUGUAUUAUAUCCUUGUUGAUAAGUCAUGUGCAUUUGAUAUACACAGUGAUAAAGAUAUAAGCAAGGAUUUUGGUAACUUUAAUAGCACAUAUCCUUGAUAUAUUCACCAUGGAAUUUUGGUAUAGCCCAUCAAGAGACUAAUUCUGUUGUGAUGUUUUAUUUGAGUAGAAUGUAAAUAUCCUGGCAUUAUAGGUGUAUCCUGAAAUGUACUGGUAAUAUGGGGAUUUACAGUUGUACAUAAAGGAAAAGGAAUAUGCUGUAUAAUUUUCCAUGUACUUUUCAGAGAUGGCCAAACUAGAUCAUUAAGUAACACAUUACUGGCAUCAAGGGAGUGUUGAAAAUGCCAUAUUAAUAACAUAGAUACAUUUAAUUUUUAUAGCUAAGUAUAGUUGAUGUUCCAGAAACCUUUGGUAAGUGUACAUUUGUGGUAGGUACUCAGGCACAAAUGUAUGUUGUUCUUAGCAAUUCCAUUAAGGAUAAAUUUAUAGGGUAAAGAAAUAUUGACUCUAAGUCUAGCAUAUUUACCAGGAACCAAGUACCAGCUACUAAGAGAUGAUAUACAGUCCUGAAAAUACAUACACCUCAAAGCUAUUCAAGUAUCUAGCUAGAGUCAAAGAUUUUUGCAACAAUGGUAGUGGUUAAGGUUGUAGACAGGGUCUUGGUAAUUUGUAACAAAGAACACAUUUGUAUAUGUUUUAUUUUUCUUUAUUUUUGUGGAGAGGAGUUAUGUGGCUUAAAUUUAGUGUUUUCCAUAUAGCAGGUAAGUACUCUACCACUGAGCUGUAUCCUGAGUUCUCAAUUUUCUAUUUUUUGUUCUGAAAAGGGAUCUCUCUAUACUAACCAGGCUAGCCUGGGAGCCCAGAUAGUCCCUGGGUUUCUUUUCUUCCUGUCCAGCCUCCCAAAUAGCUGUGAUCUAGUCUGCAUGUCAGUCUUAGCUCAUGUUUUCUUACAUUUUCAAAGAGAUCACUAAGAAAUUGUUGCCCAAACAUUUCUCAUAACAAAGCAAAUGAGAAAGCUGUCAUACCACAGUAUAGCUGAAGAAUAAUAUCCAGAUACAGAACAAAAGUGUGUUUAGACCAGUAAUUUUAUGUUUCUUUUUUUUUAAGGUGGCCCGUUCCAUGUCCGUUAUGGACAGGUAUGAGGUGGGACUAUUCAUAUUAGACAGUCUCAUAUUUUUUAAUGUGAUCAUAAUUACUUAAGGCUAACUAAUAUUUCUGCAACAUGGUAUAUAUGUUCAUAAUGUCCUAACUCCUUAUACACAUCAAAUUUCAUCAUAUGUUUGCUGGCAGACUAUAUCUGUGUUAAAUGUUCACAGUAAUAGAUUAAUAAUUGGGGUUCUAUGUAUUUUUCCUUGUGUCUAUAACUUUGAUAUUUAUGGUGGAAUUUUUAAAAUUGAUACUCAGAAGAUCAAGAGUUUCCUACUAAAGUUCUUUCCAUAGUUAUCCACAAGAAUUUAUAUAAGUUAUAUGGAUCCCAAAGUGAUGAAAUAGAUUUAGAAUUUUUAUAUGAGGGUUGGGGAUUUGGCUCAGUGGUAGACCGCUUGCCUAGCAAGCACAAGGCCGUGGGUUCGGUCCCCAGCUCCGAAAAAAAGAAAAAAAGAAAAAAAAGAAAAAGAAAAAGAAUUUUUAUAUGCAGAGAGAGAGUGAAACAUGUUACCAAUUAAUUUUCUUCCAUGUGUUUCUGAGAUAUAUUAUAUCACAGUGCCUCAAAGAAAUCUUCAACUGUACCAUUGUUCUUAUUUGGGUAGGUUUCGGUAUGAUCCUGAAUCAUUGCACAGGACAUCUGGACUCAUUUCCAUAGCUACAUGGUGAUGAUGCGCCUAACUCUGCUUGUUUCCUUGCUAAAGAGCAAUCUUUACUUCAUGGUACUGACCUUCCAAUUCUGAAAAUCUUCAAGUAUCAUAAUUGGGGAAUGAUAUAUCUUUCUAAGACUGGUCAAAGGGUUACACAGAUUCAAAUAGCUAUGGGAGAGAGUAGGGAUGGCAAUCAGGUGAGUGCUGAAGAAGACCGCGUUCAAGACCCAUGGUGUCUGAUCUUCUUGUACACAAGUGGUGGUGAUGUACAUGUUAAGGGACUGGAUGAAUUUUGAUUAGUCAGCACAGUUGCAGAAUUGCCAGUAAUGAUAUUAAACAACAAAAUUGCAGGUUUCCACUCAGGAAAGGAUGCAGUUAACAUGCAAAAAUGUGAAGUUAAGUGUCCUGUAGCAGUGAUCAAAAAGCUUUCCUGGUAAACUCAGACACAUUGUUGGUCUUUGGUAACAAAUUUCCUAUAAAUGAACAUAGUAGAACCAGAAAUAUUCUUGACAAAAUCUUACCAAUAAGCAGUUGCAUGUCGAGGUGGUCAAACCACAGUACAGACUAUCGUAUCUUCACUUCUAUAUCCACCGAGGAAACUCCCGAAUUCUGUGUUGCUGUAGAUCUUUGAAACAUAGUUUUAGAAGUAAAGCAAGUCCAUGAAGUAAAGUCUGGAAUUGACAUUAUGCUCCACUAACUGACCAGGAACCUUCAUCCCUUCCUUCCCCCAAGGUUUGCAUCAUGGUGUUUGUCACAGCAAUGGAAAGCAAACUAGAACACAGGCCUUACUACUGCAAAUAUUUUGGUGCCCCAGAUAAAUUCAGAAAUAAUACAAUGAUUUGAACAUUUAUAACUCUACGUGAAAGACAAGAAAAUGACUAAAUAGUUGUGUCAGGAUAUAUAUUUCCUGACUUUCAGAGGAAGUCCGGACUGCAAUGACCAAAAAGGAUCAUCAAGAGGAAUGUUGCUGGUGUUGAGGGAAAUGCUGAUGUUAAGAGAAUUACAGGGAAAGUCAUCUGCUUUGUGUAGCAUGCAUUUGUGGCUGAUUGUCAUGUUUGAAAUGAUUUUGUCCUUUGCGGUCUGACAGAAGACAAAUUUACCUGAUUUCUAGGGUACAGAUAUUUUAUGCUGAAUCUGUGUAUUUUUUCUAUCAUUAUUAAUCUUGAACAUAGGACUAAGCCUAGCAUAUUUUGUAAGUGCUUUGUCCAAAAAGCAUGUCCUCUAAAAAUGCAUUACUGUUGAAUUGCUUCACAUCCAGUUGGAGUUAAACAAUGGAGGUGGACAAGGUAAUAUCAGGCAUCCUGGCAGGGAAAUUAUAUCCAGAAAUACAUUUGUUCGUGUUUUCUUUUCUUCGGUGUGUGGGAGUGGCAGGGAUUGAACACGAGCCUGGCAUAAGUACUGAUGAUGCUCUAGUUCUAAAUUCUAUGCCCACACUUUUCCUUUUUAUCAUUUCUUUUUCAGUGAGUGUCUUACUCAGUUACCCAGGAUGCUGUUGGACUGGUCCUGUAACCAAGGCAGGCUUUGAACAUAAAGUUUGUGAACAUGAGUCUCAUAAAUAGCUGAACUGAUAAAGUUGCCUUACAAGGAGCUGCUUAUGGUUUCUCACAGGCAGACAACUUGAUCACUAACAUUCAGAUAGAGGAGCCACGUGUGCCUAGCCCAGCCCAUGGUUUAUCCACAGAGACAGGUCAAAACUUCAAGGUGUCUCAAAGAGAUCUUCAAGAACAAAAUUCUCCUUAUCUGGACUGUAAAUUUGAAGUUCAAGAUAGAAGGAACAUGGGAAAUGUUGGCAUGAUCUCAAAUUACUGCCCAGACAUCUGAUCUUCAUCUAUAAAGAUAGGAGCUUAGCAUAAAUGUCUCCUGGGAGGCUUCAUUCAGCAGCUGAUAGAAACAGAUGCAGAGACCAACCAACAGACAUCAGGUGGAGCUCAGAGAGUCUUGUGGAAGAGUGGGGGAUAGAAUUGAAUGAGCAGGAGGAAUCAAGGACCCCAGAAGAAAGCCUACAGAGUCAACUAACUUGGACCCAUGGGAACUCAUAGAAACUGAACCACCAACCAAAAAGCAAGCUGUGGCUGGACCUAGUCUAUAGAUUUGUAGCAGAUUACAGCUUGGUCUUCAUGAAUUUUUGCUUUCAAGAGCAUCAAAGAUCUGUUCUGAGGAGUGUUCGUGUCCCAGGAAUUCCACAACAAGUCUAUAGUUAUCAUGAAAUGAUACCGUAAUCUCGAAAUUAGCGUGUACAAGAUCGAGCUUCCAGGAUGUAUCUUUCUGACAUAGGUUAAGGACAACACAACGAGACAGAUUUUUUUCUCUCAAUGGAACAUGACUAGUAUACAGACUACUGAUGUGAGUUUUCCUUACGUGUAUGUAUAUGCAUCACAUGUGAUGUGUGGAAUACUCAAAGAGGUGGAAGAUAAGGUCAGAUCUCUUUGACCUGGAAUUGUAGGUUAUGAGCCAUCAUGCGUCUAUUGAAAAAAUCAAGCCCAGGCACUCUGCAAGAGCAGGUAUAGAAGAAGAUUAUACAAUGAACUAAAAAAGUCAUCUAGUGGAACAUUUCUGAAAUCAAGGAAAAUAUUGAUGCUAUCUAUGUACAUAGGAAGAUAUCUAAUUUCCAUAUACACAGUUGAAGGACAUCAGGGGGUCCAUGAACAGAUGUGGGGAAGGAACAAGAGGGAUGGCCAGAUAGCCAUGAGAAUGAAUGGAAAUCUGCAACUGAUGAGAGUGAAGAGACAGGAGUCUAAGAUAGCUGUCUUCUGAGAGGCUCCACCCAGGAACUAACUCUGAUACAGACACCCACAGCAAAACAGUGGAUGGAGCUUGGGGACUCUUAUGGAAGAAUAGAAGGAAGGAUUGAGGGCCCCAAAGGGGAACAGGAACUCCACAGGAGUUCAACUAAACUGGACCCUUGGGGCUCUCAGAAACGGAACCACCAACCAAUGAGCAUACACGGACUGAACUUAGGCUUCCUGCACAUAUGUAGCAGAUAUGCAGUGUGGUCUUCAUGUGGAUCUCAAACAACUGGAGCAGCGGCUAUCCCAAAAGCUGUUGUCUGUAUGUGGGAUAUAUUCUUCUAGCUGGGCUGACUUCUGGCCUCAGUUGGAGAAGAUGUGCCUAGCGUCACAGAGACUUGAUGCACCAGGGUGGGGGGGAUGCUCAGGGGGUCCCCACCAGCUCAAAGAAGAAGGGGAGGAUGGCCGAAGGAUUGUAGAAGGGAGUGACUGGGAAGGGGGCAGUGAAUGGAAUAUA